rnacentral:lncRNA from 1 species
CAAGCCUACAUGACUUUUUGAUCCAGAAAAUAGUAGUCAUGUUUUGGUCAUUCUGAGAUAGUCAUGGAAAAUUACAACACAGAUGUUCAUACGGGAUCUUCCUUCUAUUGCCCAGUGCCCCGUGAAGCCCUUGAACAAAACCAGAAGAAAGUGAAAAAUAAACAGCCUUAUACGGUUGUCAUCAUCCUAUCCCCAGUGAUGGAGCCAUACUUGGGUCUGAAAUAUUUUGACACAGAUGAAGCAAGUCUUUGCAAUUUCCAAAGGAAAGGCUUCUGUGACACACUCUCUUGUUUGAAGGAGUGACAAUAACCUGAGAAUUGCUGGUAGUAUUAUUUGUUGUUAUUACUGUCAUCAAAAGAUAUUUAAUUAGAAUCUCUUUUAUAUGUGACUGAUAAAGCCAGUGAAAUGGUCACACUGAUUCUACAGUAAGCCAUUUUUGAGCACCUAUUAUACACAAAGCACUGUGCAGGAAGGUUGCAUAGUAAGUUGAGUGUGACCCAGACUCCAACUCUGAGAAGCUUAUAAUAGGGUGAAGGAGACAGAGACAGAAAGGCAGGCUCUUAAUCCAGGGAACUACAGGAGGUAAGCACAAGGGAGACAGAAGCAGAGGCGGGAGACGUGACUUAGCCUUACCUUCCGAAACUCCACACUGGCAUGAGGAAUAGUGAUAUGCACUUGUGGAGGAAUGGUCUAUAGAAUGAGGAUAAAGAGGUUAAAGUUUUGCGAUAUCUUUCAAUUAGUGAUUCUGUAACCAAAACCCAGAGAAGCAGGUUAUGAUGGAGUCAUCAGCAACACAUCCCUUUUUAGCUUAACUUAGGAGUUCUCUUAAAUCAGGGUGCUAAGUGGGAACCAAAAAAACCCCAGCUUUGUCUGUCCGAGCUUGCACUGACUGGGCCACGUCGGGUGGGUUGCUUAUUCAUUUGCCCAACGUAUUUUAUUCCAGUAAUCAUUCAUGGCAGUCACUCAAUGUCUCUGAGCACUAGUUUCUGCAAAACUUUAUGUAUGACAUAAAGUAUAACAUACUUUAUGCCCAUAGAAGUAUCUACUCUGUUGUGAGGGUAAAUUAGACAACAUAGCCAACCUGAAAAGUCUAAUUCUAAUGAAUUUGUAAUGAAAUAUUAUCCUAAGUGAUUAUUUCCUAAACCUGUAAAUGUAAUCAGUUUCUUAAUUAUCUGUGCAUGUUCACACAUAGUUAAAGACAUUAAGUUGAUGUGUUUCUAAAUUUCUUUUUUACAUCGUUAUGCAUUUUUUAUUCAUUCCACAGAUGUUUAGUAUGCAUUUAUUGUGUGCUAGAGCCUGGACAAAGGAUUAUGAAUGGUUACAAAGAGUCCCUUGGCUGAGUACUAUUUUAAAAGGGUUUAAUUUUAGAGGUGUUGCUUAUAGUUAUCUUUUUGAUAUUUUGGGGUUAAUUCUGUGUCUAAUUCUGUUAAUUUCUGGAAAACUAGUCAUAACAAACUGUGUGGUCCUACAAAGAUCACCCUAGCCAGGCAUGGGUAGGAGUGUCCUUUUGCACCUGUGUAGAAAUUUGCUGCCAUGUAGCCAUGAGUGGGCUGGGCUCUUUUGGGGUGGCUGGCCCUGGCAACAAACAUGCAGUUCAAAGUAUCAAAACGCUAUGUGUUUUCUGCUUCUAAGGGAUUCCGUGAAAGGUGCCACUACAAUCACCUGUCAACUUUGCAAGGAAUUUCCCAUCCAAAAUCAAUUUGUUCUCAAUGUUUUUUUCUACCUGGGAGAUCAUGCAUAGCCCACAGAUAGACUCUCUUGGCCAGAGAGACACUAUUACAAACUGGUGUUUCCUUGCUCUUCUUAUCUCAUUGCAGAAAAUGCAGUCUGCCCUGAAGAACUCUGGACUGUGCCCUAACAACAUUCAUUCUCUUCUUCAUUUCCAGUCUCACUGGCUUGCAAAUAGUGCUUCCUGCCUCUUUCUUGCUGUUUCCUCAUCCUUGAUUUUCAGGGUGGAAACCUCAAUUCAUUUCCUUGAAAUGGCAAAUUAUUGCAAAGGCAUCAAUUGGUUCUUGUCUAAGUGGACAAGCAAAACUGCACUCUGGCUGAGAUGAUGGAGACACUCACCUACCAUGAUGAGGGGAAGAAGCUGGAAGCUGGGUCAUCUUGCCAGCCACUUUCUAUGGUUAUUUCACUCUUUCUUUUACUCAUCCCUUUUCUUCUUGCAUUUAUGAUAUUUUGCCAAUCAGUUUUGAGUUCAUAAAGACACAAACCAUGUCUGACUCAUCUUCUAACAUCCUUUAAGCUCCAGCAGCUAGCACAGUUCUGGAAAAUGUCCACUAGACACUCAAGAGGUGAUUUUGCACUGAUUCAGCUGCCCUCCAACCACUGAUUAUUUUAGGUCAGGCGCUAGUGAGCAGUGCGGCCCAUCACCAAGGGACAGACAAAAGUCAAUUCAUCUAUAACAAAACUAGACCAACAAACUCGAUCUUACUAGCACCACUCUCAAAAAAACAAAGAAGACCAACCAUAAACAAAUGAAUAGACCAUAUCUGAAAAUAUAUGCGAUCCUGGAGGACUUGCAUUUACACUCUAUUUCCUAAACUAUAAAGAUUUGGGUGGUCCCUAUCUGGUGAGCUAUGCAACUUGGUAAUUUUAGGCAAAUUGCUUAAGAUCUCAAUGCCUUGGUGUAUUAGUCCAUUUUUUACACUGCUAUAAAGAACUACCUGAGACUGGGUAAUUUAUGAAGAAAGGAGGUUUAGUUGACUCAUGGUUCUGCAGGCUGUACAGGAAAUAUGGCUGUGGAGGCCUUAGGAAACUUACAAUCAUGGCAGAAGGUGAAGGGGAAGCAGGCACCAUCUUUACAUGGUCAGAGCAGGACAGAAAGGGGAAGUGCUACACACUUUCAAACAACCAGAUCUCAUGAGAACUCACUAUCACGAGAACAGCAAGGGGGAAUUCCGUCCCCAUGAUCCAUUCAUCUCCCACCAGGCCCUUCCUCCAAUACCAGGAAUUACAACAGGACAUGAGAUUGGAGUGGGAACACAGAACCAAAUCAUAUCACUUGGUAACUUCAUCUCAGUGAGAUGGGUGGAUAGCCAAUAUCAUGGCAUCCUUUGAAAUCUGAAAUUCUUUUAUUAUAUUUCUUCCAAUGAUCACUCAACAUUGACUGGUUGGAUAGGAUGAGCUGAAAAGCAAAAGUUUACAGUUUAAUUCAUUUCUAGAAAGAAAUAUUAAAAAUUUAUUUUAAGCAAGGUGCCACGCUGGGUGAUAGAGGUGAUAGAUGACAAUGCUUUUGUCACUGAGGGGUCCUUCUCUGGAUGGUGUCAUAAAAUUGUAUUAGAAUUCAGGAAAAAACAGCUAGAGAAAAAGCAGUUUAUCAGCACUUAUGGCACUGCCAUCUCAUCAUCAAAAUGAACUGUGCACAAUCAUGUCAUGGGUUUGUUAGGCAUGAGCUUUGCUGAGGCUAGACAGGCCUCACAUCUGUCACCUAAUGCCAAUUCACCUCCACACUCCCAGUACACAAAGGCCUUCUCCCUGGAGCCAAACUUCACUCUGCUUCCUCCAUGUGAGGUGAGACCUUACUCAGACUGUGCCCUCCAUCUGGGAGGUGUUUCUCCUGGGACUUGCUAUUUACCCCUUGGCCCCCAGCUUAUCAUCCACAGAAAUUCCACUGCCCUCCCUGGUUUCCAUCAGUGCUGGCUACUCCCUCCUCUCGUCCUUUUCAGCAACACUGUGGGAUCACAGCUUUCCAGGUGGAGAUUUCCCUCCCUGGGCCCUGACUUUCCCCAGGAUGAGAACUGCUCUCUAACUAACCUGCCGCUGUGCCAGCCCUUAGCAUAGAUGGGCAUGUGCACCUGCCAGGAAAACAGCUGCUCUUUAUCAAAGCCAAGUGGCACAGGUCCAUCAGAUGCUUUGCCUUCUGUAACCCCAGUAUUGAACAAGAAACAACUUCCCUGUACAAAAGCCAGUCUCACAUUUGGGAAGCUGACAUCCCCUUAAAUUCACCCCUUCUUAUAAUGCUAGAAAGACAUAGCUAAACGCUCGAACCUUGGGCAGCAUGUCAGGAAUCUGACAGAAAUGUGCAGAAAGCCAGGGCAAUCACAGCCUCUUCUCUAUCUAGGACUCCGCCUUUUCUUAUCUCCUUCUCCUCAGCAUAUUACAAUGGCCAUGUGCCCUCCCAUGGGACUGUCUUCUUCCUGAGGACAAGAACAGUGCCCCACCCAAUGCCUUAGAUCAUGCAAAGAGUGUACACAGACUGCAAGUACUAAGUUUAAUAUGAUUACUAACAUGUUGAACACUGCUCUAUGGACUUCACAUGUACCAACUCAUUUAAUUCUUAAAAUGAUCCAGUAAGGACGUGUAGUAGUCAGGCUUCCCCAGAAACAGAACCAAUGGGAGAUAUACCUAGAUAGAUAAAUAGGUACAUACAUACAUACAUACAUAGGCACACACACUUGUAUGUGUGUGUGUGUGUGUGUGUGUGUGUGUGUGUAUAUAUAUAAUAUGUAUGUGUAUAUGUGUAUAUGUGUAUAUAUGUGUGUGUAUAUAUCCACACAUAUAUACACACAUACAUAUAAUAUAUACACAUACAUUUACACACAUACAUAUAUGUUCAUGUGUAUAUAUGUGUGGAUAUACACACAUACAUAUACACAUAUACAUACAUACACACAUACAUAUGAUAAUAUGAUAUAUAUAUACACACAUACACGUGUGUGUGUGUGUGUGUGUGUGUGUGUGUGUGUGUGUCUAUAUAUGUAUCUCCUGUUGGUUCUGUUUCUGAGGGAGCCUGACCACUACACUUUCCUAUUGGGUAUUAUAUCACACAGCCUUUGUAAUAUGCCAAGGAGAAAGAGAUAGAGAAAAGGCAGAGUCAUAGAGAAGAGGUUGAGAUUCUCCUGGCUUUCUGCAUGUUUCUGUCAGAUUCCUGACAUGCUGCCCAAGGUUCCUGCCUUUAGCUAGGUCUUUCUAGCUAGGUGCAUUCAUAUACAUAUGCACACACACACACACACACAUACAUAUACACACAUACAUGUAUGUAUAUUAUGUGUGUACAUAGAUAUGCAUACAUAUACAUGCAUAUAUAUGUGUGUGUGUAUAUAAAAAUAUACAUAUAUGUAUAUAUAUUUCCUAUUGGUUCUGUUUUUGGGGAAGUCUGACCACAACACUCCCUUAUUGUGUUAUUUUGAGGGUUAAAUGAGUUGCUACAUGUGAAGGCCCUAGAGCAGUGUCCAUCGCGUUAGUAAUUAUAUUAAACUCAGGACGUGCAGUCUGCAUACAUAUACAUAUAUAUGUAUAAUAUCAGAGAGAGAUAGAGAUUGGUCUUAAAAAAUUGACUUAUGUGAUUUUAGGGGCUGCAAGUCCAUAACCUGCAGGGCAGGCAUGCAGGCUGAAGACUCAGGGAGAAGUUGAUGUUGCAGCUUGAGUCCAAAAGCAGUCUGGAGGCAGAAUCCCCUCUUCCUCGGGGCACGUCAGUCUUUUUCUCUUAAGGUUUUCAGCUUACUGGAUGAGUCCCACCCACACUAUGGAGGGUCAUCUGCUUUACCAAAAGUCCACUGAUUUAAAUGUUAAUCUCAUCUUAAACUACCUUCACGGAAACAUCCAGACUUGUAUUUAACCAAAUAUCUGGGUAUCAUAGCCUAGCCAAGUGGACACAUAAAAUUAAUGAUCACAGGAAGGUACCAUCUUUACCCUGACUUACAGAAGCAGAAAGGAAAACACAGAUUGUUUAAGUCACUAGCCCUGAGUCACACAGCAAUACGUAGUGCAAUUGGAAUUUGGCCUGGGCAGUCAUUCCAGGAACUUGUGUUCAUAAACCCUGAGCUAUGCCACCUUCCUGUGAAUUUCAGCAUGGUAUUCCUUAUUUUGGCAUGAGGCUGUAUAAAGGGAACUGCUGAAAACGAACCAUCUCUUUCUGAUAUUAUCAAGUGGGUGAUGUUAUAACACUGAACCAGAAAUGUAUUUCCAGGAAACAGAACCCAAAAGGAUGACUAUAUACUUAGUUUGGCCACAUAAUACCAGCCUGAACAUCAACUCAAACCAAUUCACCAAGCCCUUUGUGGCUGAGAGGAAGGCAUGGCUGUCAAGAGUUCUAGCUCGUCUGUUUUGGUUUUUGGCUUGGGCGUGUGUGUAGAUGUGGGUGUGUAGACGUGUAUGUGUAUGCGUGUGUGCGUAUGUGCAUGCAUCUUAAGGAAUCUGCUUCUGGUUCUUUGGGGACACUGAUGAUGAUGGAUUUCUCUAUUUCACCAUAUAUAAUUCCUUCCUGCUGCACAGGACAGAAUCCUAAGGGCUCCUAAGCCUGUUCCCAAGCUUCCAAAAGAGCACCAACUCACCGUAUGGUUAACAAACCUAGGUUUGAAUCCUACCUCUGUCACUUAUUAAGUCAAUAUUCUUGGACAAGUUCUUUACUCUCUCCAAGUUUGGUUCCAUCCCUACAAUGGGGCUGAUCAGAGCACUGACCUGGGAUGGUCACCGUGGGGACUCAGGAAUGAUGCACGUGUGGAAUGCAGCCCAGCACCUGGCAUGGGGCAUACACAGCAGAUGACAAACACCAUUCCAAAAGACAAUUACUGCUUCAUCAUUAACGUCUCCUCACCAAAACCUUUUCUAGGAAACAUGCCUAACCAAGGCAAGCUCCUCCUUCUGAGUUUAUAUAUACCUGGCCGGGCAUGGUGACACACACCUGUAAUCCCAGCACUUUGAGAGGCAGAGGCAGGCAGAUCACUUGAGGUCAGGAGUUCGGGACCAGCCUGGCCAACAUGGCAAAACCCCAUCUCUACUAAAAACACAAAAAUUAACCAGGUAUGCUGGCACAUGCCUGUAAUCUCAGCUACUUGGGUGGCUGAGGUGAAGAAUCACUCACACCUGGGAGGUGGAGGUUGCAGUGAGCCGAGAUUUUGCCACUGCACUUCAGCCUGGGUGGCAGCAGAAAGAGACUCUGUCAAAAAAAAAAUAGUCUAUAUAUACCUGUGGGCUGCAGAAGAGUCAGGAAUCCCAAAGGCUGGCUCCAGUGGGAACCUGUCUAGCUGGACCUUCCUUGCUCACCCCAUGCCCGGUGUUCAGCAGCCCACUUUGCCCCAGGACACCACCCCUGAGUGAAGCCCUCCACAUGCUGUCUCCGUACAGUGCUCAGUCACCUGUGGAGAUCCAUUCUUUCCAUAUGAAAGUGUGGCCCAGCUGGAGUCUCCACCGUGGUGUCUGUGGGACUGUGUCAAAUCUGGUUACCACUGCCCUCGUUCUGCUAGAGACAACUAUACCUUAAUCACCCCGUGUUUGUUCCAGGAGGAAAAUCCUGGAACUGAUCUUCUAUGGGGUACUAACUUUUCUCAGUCUUCUGUAGGAGAUUAAGUGAUUCUGUCUUCUGAGCUCUGACAUCAUUUCAAAUGUAUGAACAUUGGCCUGAAGCUUAAUAAAUUUCAGCCAUCGUAUAUUCUUAGCUUUUGCUUGGGCUGGCGUUCCUCUGCUUAACAAAAAACAGUCAUGAGCCAGAUGAAAGCAAUUUUCCCACAUGGCACCUUCAUCUUAUUUUCCAGUCUCUGAGUAAAAGACCGCACCUCUCACCUUGCAGCUAUCACAGAACAUGGGAACAUUGCCGUCUGCAUGCCUCUCACAGGAAAUCAUGCACAUUCCCCAAAUUCCCCACAGGACCCAGGGCCUCCCUGCUCCUGCCCCACACUGUGCAGAGCACAUCCGUGCGGAGGUGUGGAAGACUAGCCAGGCCAGAGACCAGCAAAGGUGGCUGUGUGGCUAGGGGCUGGCCUCCCUCAACACUGGACGAAUUGACGUUGAGCACGUACUAAGUCUAAGGAAAUCCAGCUGCAUGCUGGAUUUAUAGCUGUGUACAAGACAAGUAUCAGCCCUCCUGGUCUUACUUUUUGGGGAAUGCACAAUUAAUCACUUACAUCGCA